GAUGAACGCUGGCGGCGUGCUUAACACAUGCAAGUCGAACGAAGCACUUUAUUUGAUUUCCUUCGGGACUGAUUAUUUUGUGACUGAGUGGCGGACGGGUGAGUAACGCGUGGGUAACCUGCCUUGUACAGGGGGAUAACAGUUGGAAACGGCUGCUAAUACCGCAUAAGCGCACAGCAUCGCAUGAUGCAGUGUGAAAAACUCCGGUGGUAUAAGAUGGACCCGCGUUGGAUUAGCUAGUUGGUGAGGUAACGGCCCACCAAGGCGACGAUCCAUAGCCGACCUGAGAGAGUGACCGGCCACAUUGGGACUGAGACACGGCCCAAACUCCUACGGGAGGCAGCAGUGGGGAAUAUUGCACAAUGGGCGAAAGCCUGAUGCAGCGACGCCGCGUGAGCGAAGAAGUAUUUCGGUAUGUAAAGCUCUAUCAGCAGGGAAGAUAAUGACGGUACCUGACGAAGAAGCACCGGCUAAAUACGUG
rnacentral:rRNA from 1 species